UUUCCAUUUAGUACUCAAUAUAAGUAAGUUACUUGUUUUUAAUUUUGACCAAUAAAAAGCUUUUUAUCCACAACUUACUUUGAGUAAAAUUUUAAGCUUAUCCACACAUGCAGUUAAACAGUAAAUACUUCUUCUUUCCUUAAAAUUCUUAACUUAAUUUUGUAAUUUCGAUUGCGAUUGCCCUCCAAUAUUACGCCUAUUAUUUCCAUAACUUCUUCCCCCGUCUUCCGAAAGAGAUCUCGAGUAAGAGGUACGUAAAAACAUAAUCAUUCUUAAAAAUAAAUAAAAAUUAUACCAAUGUAUGUAUAGGUUCAUUCUCAUUAUUUUAUAUAUAUAUAUAUUUUUUUUUUUUAUUUUUUAUUUUUUUUUUUUUUUAGAGAAUUAUUGCAAUUUGUGAUAUUCUCAUAUAUUAUUGUCAUAAAUAUGUACUAGUUAUGAACCUGAGAUUUGGAGGUGCCAAGUUAUAGAUGGAAUUAGGGUUAAGUUUUAUCAUAUAAAACAUAUUUAGGUUAAUAGAAAACUCUAUUAUUAAAGGUUGAACCCCAAUCUUGAGGGCCUCACCGCCCCGCCCCUAAAGCAGAAAACCCUAUUAUUAGUUAUCUUGAAGAAUGAGUUUUUUGAUCAGGAUAUGGAGCUCUUAUGCUAAAAAUAAAAUGAAAUUGGAAUUUAAGUUAUAAUUUACAUAAAGUAUUUAGGUCGAAUAGAAAUCUUGAAGAAUAAGUUUUUUAAUUGGAACUCGAAUGCUCACAUAUUAAGAAAAUAAAAAUUGUGAUGCGAAACUUGAACUUGUGCAACUUAUGAAUCUAUCUUUUGAUUAUUAAGAUGGAAACGGGAUUGAAGGAGUAACUACGUAAAGUAUUUAGGUCGAGUACAACCCCACCAUCUAUUAUCUGGAAUAUUGAAUUUUUAGUUGAGAUAGGAGAGCUCCCAUAUAAAAAUGAAAAUUUGUGAGAUUCCUGUGUGCUUGGUUUCCUUAUGAGCUUCUGUUUGUUAAAAUUUUAUUUCUUAACCAUCCAUUUUAAUAAAAUUCACAAGUACUAUUUACUUAUUCAUCAAUUAUUUAUAAAUACUUAAUUUUAACCAUACAUUCAUAUCUCUUUAUAAGAUAGGAUCUGUUUGGCAUGAAUUUUGCUUUUGCUUCCUAUAGAUGAGUUUUUGGAGAAAAUUAUCUUAAUUUUCGUUUGAAAACUAAUUUUUAAAAGAGUCAUCUAUUUCGAAAAUACUUUUAGAGAAAGUCACAUUGAACUAGUUUUCUCUAAAAACUUUUCUAACUAAAAAUUUAAUCUUUUUAAAAUUAUCUAAAAGAAUUCAAAAGUAGAUUUUGAGCUUGAAAAACUCCUUUUGACCUUUCAAAAUCAUGUCAGAUGGGCCGUUAAUGUAUUUUUGUUUCAUUUUAAUGUCAUUUCAAGGCAAAUAAGGAGAAAUAAUGUGGAGUAAUGAAUCCCACAGAAUGUGUCGAAUAACAAGCGAAUAGUUGUUAUAAGUAUGAGGUUAAAAUUAAAGUUUGAUUGAAAAUUAUAAGUAAUUUAUAAUAUUUCCCAAGUAUACUAGUCUUACAUUACAUUUUCCAUUUAUGAAUCUAUCAAUUGGAAAUGACAAGUUAGACGAGGGAAUUGAGUUUAAGGCUGUAGUUAUAUUAAGUAUUUAGGUCAAUUAGGGCUCAGUAUCAUUUUUUGCGAAGAAUGAUUUUUUUUUUUUUUAUCGGAAUAUGAAGGCUCUUAUAUCAAGAAAAUAAAAUAAAAAAAUAAAAAAUAGGCGCCACUAAAAUUAUGUAAAACAAUGCCAACUUAAAAGAAUAGAGUAUUUUCUUUGUUAUGCAACAUAUAAAAAAUAGUAUUAUAGAUUUUGUUUUAACUUGUAUAGUUAACACUACAUAAAAUAGCCUUGUAAUCUUUCUUUUCCCUUCAUGAGUUAGCCACUUGGCCUUUUACUUCUCCUUUGGCUUUGAUUAGGUUCAAUGAAGAACAAAUCUCUGGGAAAUAAGAGAACAAGGGUUAUGAAGUUACUCCUUGUGCUCACACUCAUGGCAGUCUUGUGCACCUCAGUGGCGGCUAAAGGUGGUGGUGGCAGUAGAGGUGGCGGAAGAAGAGGAGGAGGAGGUAGAGGGAGACCAAGAUAUGGAUGGUAUGGUACUGGUGGACAUGGGGGGAACCACUCAAGUGCUUUAUCUCGUUCCACUUUUGCAUGGUAUUCGACGAAAUCUUGCGCAUUGGAUCUUCUCAUGUUCGUUUUAAUAACAUAUAUCUUAUGAUUUAGAGGUACUAAUGUUUUUAAGAAGAUUAGUUAGAAAUAAAAUCUCUUCAUCUUUCUUGCACCUGACUCGAGGAAUAAUUGUCAAGAAUGAAUUGAAUAAUAAAUAUGGGCAUUUCCAUUAUCGUAGCUUCAUAAAAUGAGGCAACAAAAGAUAUUGAAUAACUAUUAUACAAAUUGAAAAAACGGUUUCCUCUGUUACAUGUUCUUUUAAAUAGAUUGUCGACUUUUUUACUGAGAAUACAGUAUCCAAACAAAUCAUGAGUUAAUAGCUCAUUUUACA
rnacentral:lncRNA from 1 species